GGAAUUGACGGGGAGCACCACAACGGGUGGAGCUUGCGGUUUAAUUGGAUUCAACGCCGGAAAUCUUACCGGACCGACAGCAAUAUGAAGGCCAGGCUGAAGACUUUGCCGGAUUAGCUGAGAGGUGGUGCAUGGCCGUCGUCAGUUCGUACUGUGAAGCAUCCUGUUAAGUCAGGCAACGAGCGAGACCCACGCCCACAGUUGCCAGCGUACUCUCCGGAGUGACGGGUACACUGUGGGGACCGCCGCUGCUAAAGCGGAGGAAGGAAUGGGCAACGGUAGGUCAGUAUGCCCCGAAUAUCCCGGGCUACACGCGAGCUACAAUGGUUGGUACAAUGGGUAUCUACCCCGAAAGGGGACGGGAAUCUCCUAAAACCAAUCUUAGUUCGGAUUGAGGGCUGCAACUCGCCCUCAUGAAGCUGGAAUCCGUAGUAAUCGCGUUUCAACAGAACGCGGUGAAUACGUCCCUGCUCCUU
rnacentral:rRNA from 1 species